rnacentral:rRNA from 1 species
AUUGAACGCUGGCGGCGUGCUUAACACAUGCAAGUCGAUCGGUAACAGGUGUAGCAAUACAUGCUGACGAGAGGCGGACGGGUGAGGAAUAUUUGGGAAUCUGCCCAUCAGCGGGGGACAACCCGGGGAAACUCGGGCUAAUACCGCAUACGCUCUACGGAGGAAAGCCGGGGACCGCAAGGCCUGGCACUGAUGGAGGAGCCCAAAACGGAAUAGCUAGUUGGCGGGGUAACGGCCCACCAAGGCGACGAUCCGUAGCUGGUCUGAGAGGACGAUCAGCCACACCGGAACUGAGACACGGUCCGGACUCCUACGGGAGGCAGCAGUGGGGAAUAUUGGACAAUGGGGGAAACCCUGAUCCAGCGACGCCGCGUGGGUGAAGAAGGCCUGCGGGUUGUAAAGCCCUUUCGGUAGGGAAGAAAUCUCUUGUUCUAACAAAACAAGGGUUUGACUUAACCUACAUAAGAAGCACCGGCUAACUCUGUGCCAGCCGCCGCAGUAACAC